UACAAGUUUAUAGAUGGUGAAGCUAUGCGG
rnacentral:piRNA from 1 species